GGGAACAAAGCUCAAAGGAAUGAGCACCUGUGUCCGAAACAGGCGGUUACAGGUUCAAAUCCUGUUGUUCCCA
rnacentral:tRNA from 1 species